rnacentral:rRNA from 1 species
CGGACGGGUGAGUAAUGCCUAGGAAUCUGCCUGGUAGUGGGGGACGAACGUUUCGAAAGGAACGCUAAUACCGCAUACGUCCUACGGGAGAAAGCAGGGACCUUCGGGCCUUGCGCUAUCAGAUGAGCCUAGGUCGGAUUAGCUAGUUGGUGAGGUAAUGGCUCACCAAGGCGACGAUCCGUAACUGGUCUGAGAGGAUGAUCAGCCACACUGGAACUGAGACACGGUCCAGACUCCUACGGGAGGCAGCAGUG